GUGGGGAAUAUUGCGCAAUGGGGGAAACCCUGACGCAGCAACGCCGCGUGGAGGAAGAAGGUCUUCGGAUUGUAAACUCCUGUCUUCUGGGACGAUAAUGACGGUACCAGAGGAGGAAGCCACGGCUAACUACGUGCCAGCAGCCGCGGUAAUACGUAGGUGGCGAGCGUUGUCCGGAAUUACUGGGCGUAAAGGGCGCGUAGGCGGCUCUUUAAGUUAGAUGUGAAAACCCAGGGCUUAACUCUGGGACUGCAUUUAAAACUGAAGGGCUCGAGUGCAGGAGAGGUAAGUGGAAUUCCUAGUGUAGCGGUGAAAUGCGUAGAUAUUAGGAGGAACACCAGUGGCGAAGGCGACUUACUGGACUGUAACUGACGCUGAGGCGCGAAAGCGUGGGGAGCAAACAGGAUUAGAUACCCGAGUAGUCC
rnacentral:rRNA from 1 species